CCGUGGCAGGGCUGGGCGGGUAGAUGGAAGUCCUGGCGAGGAGGAGCUGCGGUGUCGCCAGUCAACUGCCCAGCCCUCGAGGUUCGGCGACGCCCGCCACCGCCCGCGUCUCUUCCACUCCCUUCAGUUCGGAACUCCUCCUCCGCAGGCGGGGAGGCGGCGGCGGCGAGCGCCGGCCGCGUGGGCAUAGCGGCUUGGCUUGGCUUCCCUAGCCAGCGUCCCUGGCUAUUCUAGGCAAGCAAAUCAGGCCGAGCGACUAGGAGGCUUACCAGACCAAUGAGAACUAUUUGAAGCCACUGAAAGGGGGACUUUACCUUUAAGUUGGACGACGCCCGGAUUUCUUCUCAACUGUACAUUGCUCCGAAGGGAGUAGCCAAUGUUUAUAAGGCCCUACUGAGACCUCUUUCGAGUGAGGUGAUAAAACUGAUGGUGCCAGUUCAGGAUGCAACUAAGGAUCAUCACAUGCUUGAAUUGCAGCUUAUACAAUUUUAGGAACUAUUUGCAUGUGCAGCAUGGCAACAGUCCCACUGUGUAUCCAUAUGGGCCGCCACCACUGGAGCCAUGCAUUUGGUGAACACCCACGGAGUGGAUGCCAGCGCGAAGGGGAGGGCGCGGAACAGCGAUGAACCAUCAAGAGAAGAUCUUCCACUCUGGAUCUAGCAUCGGGUGUCAGUCCAGAAGAUCUGAGCCAGGCGUGGCGGCGAAGAGCGACUGAGGAUGCCAUCACCUUAGAGGCGCCUUCUGUUAAGUGAUGAAUUGCAUGAAGUUCUUGUUUCAAGACCUGCGUAGCUUCAUGGAGGAAAACUUUAGCUGGACCUUGUUGUUCCUCAGGCAAAUGGUCCAGGAAGGAAGCAACAUGGUCCCACAGAAAAGACUGGUAUCUGGUGUAGUAAGCCUGAUAGUUUGCAAUUCUGGUCAAUAAAGAUGAA